AACCCUACAAUGGCCUCUCAGUGUUCAAAUGAGAGUCACAUGUCUCCCACUUUAAAUCAAAAGCUGGAAAUAAUUAAGUUUAGUGUGAGGAAGGCAUGUCGAAAGCCAAGAUAGGCUGAAAGCUAGGCCUCCUGUGAAGAACAGUUAGUCAAGUUCUGAAUGUAAAGGAAAAGUUCUUGAAGGGAGUUAAAAAUGCUACUCCAGUGAACACAAGAAUAACAAGAAAGCAAAAGAGACAUUGCUGAUAUGGAGAAAGGUAGAGUGGUCUAGAUAGAAGAUAAAACCAGCCACAACCUUCCCUUCAGCUAAAGCCUAAUCCAGAGCAAGGCUCUAACUCUUUUUAAUUCUGUGAAGGGUGAGAGAGAUGGAGAAGCUGCAGAAAAAAGGUUUGAAGCUAGUAGAGAUUGGUUCUUGAAGCUUGCGGAAAGAAGCCGUCUCCAUAACGUAAAAGUUCAAGAUGAUGCAGCAAGUACAAUGUAAAAGCUACAGCAUUCUCCAAAAGAUCUAGCUGAGGUCAUUAGUGAAGGUGGCUACACUGAAUGACAGAUUUUCAAUGUAGAUGAAACAGCCUUCUAUUGGAAGAAGAUGCCAUCUAGGACUUUCAUAGCUAGAAAGGAGAAGUCAAUGCCUGGCUUCAAAGAACAGGCUGACUCUUGUUAGUGGCUAAUGUAGCUGGUAACUUUAAGUUGAAGCCAAUGCUCAUUUACUAUUCUGAAAAUUCUAGGACCCUUAAGAAUUAUGCAAUAUCUACUCUGCUCAUGCUCUGUAAAUGGAAGAAUGAAGCCCAGAUGACCACACAUUUGUUUACAGCAUGAUUUACUGAAUAUUUUAAGCUUGUCAUUGAGACCUGCUCUCAGAAAAAAGAUUUUUUGUUUUCAAAAGAUUACUGCUCAUUGACAAAUUCACCUGGUCACUCAAGAACUCUGAUGGAGAUGUACAGUAGGAUUUCCAGCUCCUAGAAGACAGAAAUCAUGAUGUUCAUCUUUUGCAUCCUUCCCAGAAUCUAGUGGAGCACUGAGCAUCAUGCAUUGUUCCUGAGAGUAGCUUCAAUAAGCCACGUGGAUGCAAUUAUCCAGCUCAGGGGUUGUUUCUUAUGGAAUCCAACCUAUGACUGUUGACGCCAGGAGUGGUCCUGGGAAGGAGACUCUGAAAAUUUUGGAGCUGGCUGGGAAUAAGAGUCCUGUCGCUGUUGAUAUCUGAGAGCAACCUUCUGCCAGGAUUUGCCCUGCCCACAGGCGUUAGCAUGGACUUGAUGACUGCGGUGCGGCUUUCACUUUCUCAAUUUUCCAGAGCUCAUACUCCCCAAACUCCAGAGGAAUAAGAUGCACAUAUUAAGCCUAGAAUGUGCUAGCCAAUGUGGUACUGGACUGACGUGGCUCAUGGAUCUCAUGGUGGGAACUACAUAGAGUGGACUUAUGAGAAAAGCCAGCUGGGGCUCCAGGAGCAUCACGGAGCAAAGAGAGCUUUUCAGGCCUCAUCUUCACUAUAGGACCAGUGAAUAACUCUGGAUGGCAGAUAAAUCAUAGGGUGGAGAGAAAGGAGUAGAAGCCUUCAAUGAUGAUACCUGUUUCCGUCAAUGACAGAUAAGGCCCGAAGAUCCAGACUGAUGAUAAGCCUAAAGCCGGUGGAGGACAAUCACUACUGGAUUCUACCACAGAAGGCUGCAAACACCAAUCAUUAUCGUUCUGGGGAAUCCAGCUGCCAUGGUGAGUAGCAGCACUACAGAGAGGCCCACGCAGCAAAGAAUUGAAACCUCUAAACAAUAGCCAUGUAAGUAAGUUUGGAAAUGGAUUCUUAGCCUAACCUUAGGAUAACUGUGGCCCCAGGCAAUAGCUGGACUGGAAUCUUAUAGAGAUUUUGCACCAAAACCGCUUAGCUCAUCUGCUACCAGAUUCCAGGCCCACAGAAGCCCUGAGAUUAAAAAAAUGUUUGAAGAUUUAGGCUACGAAGUUUUGGAUAAUUUGUUACAAAGCAGUAUAUAAGUAAUAUACCUAGGAAAUCAACUCUUAGGUACAUAUCCCAGGAACACUUGAACAGGUGCCUAAGCAUGUUCCCUGAAGCACUAUUUAUGGUACAAAUAGAUGGAGACAAAUAGAUUUUCAUCACUAUCAGAAUAAAAUAAGUAAAAUAUGAAAAAUUCAAAUAACAUAAUAAAACCGUGCCCCAAAGAGUUAAAGAAAAUAGUAACUCAAAGAGUUAAAGAAAAUAGUAACUAAUAGAAAUCCUUGAGUUUGCAGGAUAGUAGAUCAGAAAGCAAACAACUUGUUGAAACGUUGAGACACUAUCUGCUUGUAAGAUAACAAAACUGGCUACACUCAGUUAGAACCAAUAUGGCCAACUGGAGUUUAUGCAGAAUGAGCUUGCAGACAUCACAUGUUUUAUAUGAACUCACCCUGAGUUUGCACAUGAGACCCAUGAAGAAGCAGGAAAAAGUAACUGCACCCAGAAGGAACCUCCAGGCCUCCUCUUUCCUUCCACAAAUUACCUACUAAUUCUCGGACUCCACCCUCUAAAUCUUUUCUAAUACAAUUAUUGCCUUAAAAUCAGCAGGGGGAGACAAAUUCGAGCUAGUCUCCUGUCAGAAUUCUUGGUUGACUUGCAAUAAAAAGCUUCUCUUUGCUCAAGAA